GUCAGCUCAGAACUGGUACGGA
rnacentral:snRNA from 1 species